AAAAAGAAAACAAACAGAAAAACUCAUCAGGUUUUACAUCGCUGUCCUGUCCUUUCUACAGCUGCUCCUACAAUAAUGUCUGUCAUUAAACCAUUAUUGGGGGAUGUAGGUUCUCUUGUCUGUUCCUAGUGUCCUUCUUCUAACACUUUUUAAAUGGAUUCUGAAGGAAGCUUGAGGCCCAUUGUAUUGCAGUGAGCUAUAAAUCCUGGCGGCUGCCCAGAAGAAAACAGAGAAGGAAGAGAGAAACUGGCUCAUUUUUAGAGUCCAGAAAAGAAAGUCUGCUCUGCUCUUGGAGCUGGAUGGGGUGUAAGCAGCUGUACAGAAGGUUUCUCACAUCAUGACAUUGACAAAGGCCAAGAGGGUAUUACGUUCCACGUCUGCCCAUUGUUACCCGGAUUAUUUGUCCACUUCAGAUUUGUCUGUGCCACCGGAUGUAAAUAUUAUCUCGAAAAACGGGUGAUGGGAUCGAGGGGUGGAUGUGGCGGUGCAUCCUCGAGGGGAGAGAAAAGCGAAGGUGGGGGAUGGGUUUCUGUGAGUUCAAGGCUAGCCUAGUCUAGGUGAUAAGUUCCAGGCCAGUCUGAACUACAGAAACCUCACCUGAAAACAACAAUUAGCCUUCUUGAGAAUGGAAAGGUUUGAGCCUGAGGCCAGUCUAUUAUACAUAGAGAAUUCCAGGAUGGGUUGUUCCACAUAGCAACACACUGGUGAGGAACCAAAAAUAAAUUUAAUAAUUU
rnacentral:sRNA from 1 species